UCCACGGGUCUCUGCGACGCAGCUAACGCAUCAAGUGCCCCGCCUGGGGAGUACGAUCGCAAGAUUAAAACUCAAAGGAAUUGACGGGGCCCCGCACAAGCAGCGGAGCAUGCGGCUUAAUUCGACGCAACGCGAAGAACCUUACCAAGGCUUGACAUAUACAGGAAUAUGGCAGAGAUGUCAUAGCCGCAAGGUCUGUAUACAGGUGGUGCAUGGUUGUCGUCAGCUCGUGUCGUGAGAUGUUGGGUUAAGUCCCGCAACGAGCGCAACCCUCGUUCUGUGUUGCCAGCAUUUAGUUGGGGACUCACAGGAGACUGCCGGGGUUAACUCGGAGGAAGGUGGGGAUGACGUCAAAUCAUCAUGCCCCUUAUGUCUUGGGCUGCACGCAUGCUACAAUGGCUGGUACAAACGGCUGCAAUACCGCAAGGUGGAGCGAAUCCGAGAAAGCCAGUCUCAGUUCGGAUUGGGGUCUGCAACUCGACCCCAUGAAGUCGGAGUUGCUAGUAAUCGUAGAUCAGCAACGCUACGGUGAAUACGUUCCCGGGGCCUGUACACACCGCCCGUCACGUCACGAAAGUCGGUAACACC
rnacentral:rRNA from 1 species